CUUUCAGCUUCUCACCCACUCUCCUCUUGCACCUACGUGAGGUUUUUUUUUCCACCUCCAUCACCCUCGGGCGAGGAUUUCGGCAGCUCGGCUCACCCCUGCAUGGGGAAAACCCUUGAGCAACCUCAAGUCCUUGUGCCGCAAAAUCCUCUCCUCCUCAUCCCCAUGUGCCACACGAAGCCUCCCCUACACCUGGGUAAGGCUGGGUGCUGGAGGAGCACCAGGCUGGACUUUUCACGAGAAAUGUUCUUAUUUCAAACCCAAAUGUCUGCUCCCUGGACCCAUCUGUGAGAGGACAAGGUAGGAGCAGGGCUGGGCAGGGGGUUGCUGGGGUCCAGGCUGUGCAGGUGAGGGGAUGGAUGUGGCACAAGCCCCAUUAGGGAGCUGCCAGCAUCCCCCGUGGCACAGUUGUGCCUCGCCGAUGGCCGCGGGGUGGUACCAGAGGCAGUAAAGAUUUGGAUGUGUGUAGGGUCGAGGCAUCGGCUGCUGUUCCUGGCAGGUCAGUUAUUCCGAAGCGCCUUCCCCAUCUACCUGUCAGCCCCAAUAUCGUUGUUAAUUGCAGCUCACAUCCAGGUUCAGCUAAUGCGAUGUGAGUGCCCCGCUGGCCUGUCAUUAGCAGCAGAGGCCGGGGCUGAUGUGAUUACGGGUCCUGCUGUCCUUGCCCCCGGCCCUGCUGACCAAGGAGCCGGCAGGGGCAGGCUCCAGCCCCAGAAGUUUGGUGCCACCCGCGGAAGGAUGCUGAUUCCUGGUGCAAAGCCAGCACAGAGGCAGAAAUUAGGUCCAGUAGGAUGGCUGAUAGCAGAGACCAGAAAAUAAUCUCCCUGGAUUAAACGGGGGACCGCAGAAGGGCACAUAAGACUUAACGAAGAGGCUCUAAUUAAGAAGCAGCACCACGCGACCCCAAGGCAUGCUGUCUGCAGAAGUGGCCACGAGACCAGCCGGCCCCGUCGGUGAGUGCACAUGGUGUGAGCACCGCGGCUCCGAAAGCGAGUGAGGGGUGUCUGGUGGCAAUGGUGAGGUCUCCAAACACGGCCUCUGCUGGUGGCAGCGCUCUUGGUGCUGGAGCUUUUUGGGGAGAGACACAUCUCUGUGCUUAUGGGGUUUGUGGGGGGCUAAACACAGCGGGGUGGGUGCAUUUAGGGCUGUUAACUGCUGUAUUAGUACAUCAGUAUGCAUUAGUAUAGUAGAUAGUGUACUUGUGUUAUUUUAGUUGAUAUUUAUAUUAAUAAAUGAGCAUGUUUAGGGUGUGUAUCGAUAGAU
rnacentral:lncRNA from 1 species